AAAUUGAAGAGUUUGAUCAUGGCUCAGAUUGAACGCUGGCGGCAGGCCUAACACAUGCAAGUCGAACGGUAACAGGAAGCAGCUUGCUGCUUCGCUGACGAGUGGCGGACGGGUGAGUAAUGUCUGGGAAACUGCCUGAUGGAGGGGGAUAACUACUGGAAACGGUGGCUAAUACCGCAUAACGUCGCAAGACCAAAGAGGGGGACCUUCGGGCCUCUUGCCAUCAGAUGUGCCCAGAUGGGAUUAGCUUGUUGGUGAGGUAACGGCUCACCAAGGCGACGAUCCCUAGCUGGUCUGAGAGGAUGACCAGCCACACUGGAACUGAGACACGGUCCAGACUCCUACGGGAGGCAGCAGUGGGGAAUAUUGCACAAUGGGCGCAAGCCUGAUGCAGCCAUGCCGCGUGUAUGAAGAAGGCCUUCGGGUUGUAAAGUACUUUCAGCGGGGAGGAAGGUGUUGUGGUUAAUAACCGCAGCAAUUGACGUUACCCGCAGAAGAAGCACCGGCUAACUCCGUGCCAGCAGCCGCGGUAAUACGGAGGGUGCAAGCGUUAAUCGGAAUUACUGGGCGUAAAGCGCACGCAGGCGGUCUGUCAAGUCGGAU
rnacentral:rRNA from 1 species